rnacentral:lncRNA from 1 species
CUUUUAUAAGGAUGAUGUGACAAGCUUAAGCUGGCAAGUUGCUCCAACCUUUUUCACCAAUUAUAUAGCAUUGUAAAGAGGCAAAUCCUGAGAACCUGUGCCUUUAGAGGUAUUUAAAUUCUUAAUUCCCAGUGCAAUCGCUAGCAAUUAGGCUCUUCGGCAUCCCUGAGGAUCUGGGCUGGGGUCUUUGCUCAGUUAUGGCUCAAGUAGUCUGCUGUUGGCUUUAAUCAAUUUUUUUUUUCCUGUCUCAGCUGUGUAUUUAAAGCUUCUGAUCUUGCUUCUCAGAAACUACCAAUGAAAUUGUAGCUUUUUUAAAAAAUCUUGAAUUAUUAGACUCUGUUGCACAAUUUUCAGUCCCAGGUUUCAGAAGGCGUAACCUGUUGCACCUAAGGACAUGAAAGGCAGUACAGGAACAAAGCUGCCUGAUUCUAUUGAAAGGAGGCACCGAGAGCUUUCUACGGGUGUCUGCAUAAAGCAGGACGUAAGGCAAAGCUGCGUUUUGCGUUUGGGCAGAGCAUCUUGUUUUCCUACAGAGGAACAUUUUUUUUCAAGCGCAGGAGAAGCAGCGAGCGUGGAUGUUGUGGUAGCAGAUGCAGAGCGGCGCCGUGGGAGAGCAGGGUUUAUUCUUGUCUUUCACAUCUUGAUGGCUUCCCGCACUGCACCACCCUGCUUUUCGACUGUGGAAAACAUCUGGGACGGGGUCCUGGACCCCUCCUUAAAGAGCUGGGAUUUGAAGAAAGGUUUUCUUAUUCGUGGAAGACAGUACAAGACAAUAUAUUAGGAAUAUUGAAACUCUGAAGCGAGAGAGAGACUUAAGUUCCAGGUGCUGAUCUUGUGACAAUCCUGUGCAUAUGCCAAGUGAAGAACAUGUUGUUUAAGGAAAAACCUAGUUAUAAAUGUGUACAAGCUGAAAUUCUGUUUCCAGUAAUUUGAUGGAAUGUGCUGUCUGCAUGGAUUUUGUUUCCUGCUGAGAAGUAUGUACUGCAAAUAUAUCUGCUGUAUAUUAUCUUCGCCACUGUGCAGCACAGUGUGUAGGAAAGACGCCUCUUUAAAAAUUGGAUACCUAAUUUUUUGCUGCUUCAACAUAAUGAAGGAUUCAGAGAUGGUUUGUUUUGCUCUGAAAGUAUUUCUGGUUUGGGGUUUUUUUGCAGUGUCAUAUCUGAUGAGAAGGGUAAAGUAUACUUGAAUCUUCAGCUAGAAGAUCCUCUGCAGUCUGUUUAUCAGCCAUGGGAAUUCAGUUGGGGUUAAAAAUAAUCACACAUUGAGCAGUCUGAUUAAAAUUCCUAUCCCACUUAUCUUCUUUUCUAUGUGAUAAUUUUCAUUUUACUAGCUCUUCAGUAAUCGUAGUAUCUUUCAAAAGUAGCAAAAAUUGGAAUUUAUAUUUUACCAGAAGAAAUUAUGGAAAAAUAAACAUUUUCAUGUUUGUUUAUUAUUAUUUUUA